rnacentral:rRNA from 1 species
CCUACGGGAGGCAGCAGUGGGGAAUAUUGGACAAUGGGCGAAAGCCUGAUCCAGCCAUGCCGCGUGUGUGAAGAAGGCCUUCGGGUUGUAAAGCACUUUCAGUGGGGAAGAAAGCCUUGGGGCUAAUACCCUCGAGGAAGGACAUCACCCACAGAAGAAGCACCGGCUAACUCCGUGCCAGCAGCCGCAGUAAUACGGAGGGUGCGAGCGUUAAUCGGAAUUACUGGGCGUAAAGCGCGCGUAGGCGGUCUGAUAAGCCGGUUGUGAAAGCCCCGGGCUCAACCUGGGAACGGCAUCCGGAACUGUCAGGCUAGAGUGCAGGAGAGGAAGGUAGAAUUCCCGGUGUAGCGGUGAAAUGCGUAGAGAUCGGGAGGAAUACCAGUGGCGAAGGCGGCCUUCUGGACUGACACUGACGCUGAGGUGCGAAAGCGUGGGUAGCAAACAGGAUUAGAUACCCUUGUAGUC